rnacentral:piRNA from 1 species
UGCUUUGUGGCUUUGCUGGUA